UCAUUAAAUCAGCUAUGGUUCCUUGGAUCGUGUCUUCUACAUGGAUAACUGUGGGAAUUCUAGAGCUAAUACAUGCACCAAAGCCGUGACCGCAAGGGAACGGCGCAUUUAUUAGAUCAAAACCAACCGGACUUCGGUCUGAGUUGUUUGAUGACUCUGGAUAAACUUGAGCAGAUCGCAUGGCCAUGCGCCGGCGACGUAUCCUUCAAUGUCUGCCCUAUCAACUUACGUUGGUAGGUUACCUGCCUACCAUGGUGAUCACGGGUAACGGGGAAUCAGGGUUCGAUUCCGGAGAGGGAGCAUGAGAAACGGCUACCAGAACUACGGUUUGCAGCAGGCGCGCAAAUUACCCACUCCCGGUACGGGGAGGUAGUGACGAAAAAUAACAAUACGGGUCUUUUUAUAGGCCCCGUAAUUGGAAUGAGUACACCUUAAAACCAUUAACGAGUACCAAUUGGAGGGCAAGUCUGGUGCCAGCAGCCGCG
rnacentral:rRNA from 1 species